rnacentral:rRNA from 1 species
UACGUAGGGAGCGAGCGUUAUCCGAAUUUAUUGGGUGUAAAGGGUGUGUAGGCGGUUUAAUAAGUUUAAGGUCUAAUUUCGAGGCUUAACCUCGAACUGCCUUAAAAACUGUCUAACUUGAGUAUGGUAGAGGCAAGUGGAAUUUCUAGUGUAGCGGUAAAAUGCUUAGAUAUUAGAAGGAACACCAGUGGCGAAGGCGACUUGCUGGGCCAUUACUGACGCUGAGACACGAAAGCGUGGGGAGC